CGUGACGACACUUUCGCAUCACGUACAGCGACGGUAACUGCCAGUGGAAAUGGAAAUUAGUUACGUAGCAGUUUCUGCAGAUUUCCAACUCUGAACUGGCGGUUUUCCUGGCCUGGGAAUUACGGCACUAUAAAAACAACGGUAAGCAACACCAGCAUGAGCAUUUUCUACAGAUCUGUAGUUCUAAAGCGACCUGCUGCUGUUGCAUCAAACCAUGAAGCUGCUGGUUGUGUGUCUCCUGGUUGUGGCCCUGACUCUGGUUUCUGCUCAAAGAGGAGGCAGAGAGAUGCAGAGGAGGAAACUACAGGAGACGCUGAGAGAGCUGAACCAGGUCCAAAACACCAUGAGGCAAAAGGAGCAGAUGUUGAACACGCCACCAGAGAAUGUCGAGGACUGCUGCUGUGUGUCGGCCCUGACGUGCUUCCGUGCCAACCUCCAGGUUCAGUUCAACCUCACACAGGGAUCACCAAGGAAACUCUACCGGAGCCUGAAG
rnacentral:lncRNA from 1 species